UACGUAGGGGGCAAGCGUUGUCCGGAUUUAUUGGGCGUAAAGAGCUCGUAGGCGGUCUGUCGCGUCGGAUGUGAAAACCCAGGGCUCAACCCUGGGCCUGCAUUCGAUACGGGCAGACUAGAGUACGGCAGGGGAAACUGGAAUUCCUGGUGUAGCGGUGAAAUGCGUAGAUAUCAGGAGGAACACCGGUGGCGAAGGCGGGUCUCUGGGCCGUAACUGACGCUGAGGAGCGAAAGCGUGGGGAGCGAACAGG
rnacentral:rRNA from 1 species